AGGACGAACGCUGGCGGCGUGCUUAACACAUGCAAGUCGAACGAGGUCCAACCAGUGGCAACACUGGGGAAGACCUAGUGGCGAACGGGUGAGUAACACGUGAGCAACCUGCCCCGAAGACUGGGAUAACAGUGGGAAACCGCUGCUAAUACCGGAUACCCCCACCAGAUCACAUGGUCAGGUGAGGAAAUGGACUCCGCUUCGGGAGGGGCUCGCGGCCUAUCAGCUUGUUGGUGGGGUAACGGCCUACCAAGGCAACGACGGGUAGCUGGUCUGAGAGGACGAUCAGCCACACUGGGACUGAGACACGGCCCAGACUCCUACGGGAGGCAGCAGUGGGGAAUCUUGCGCAAUGGGCGAAAGCCUGACGCAGCAACGCGCGUGAGGGAUGAAUGUCUUCGGAUUGUAAACCUCUUUCAAGCAGGGACGAUAAAUGACGGUACCUGCAGAAGAAGCUCCGGCCAACUACGUGCCAGCAGCCGCGGUAA
rnacentral:rRNA from 1 species